GCCGGGCUAGCUCAAUCGGUAGAGCGUGAGACUCUUAAGGUUAUUAAAGUCCACGGUAUCUCAAGGUUGCGGGUUCGACCCCCGCGUUCGGCU